UGGUAGUUAGUUUAAGCCAAAAUAAGUGAUUUCGACUCACUAGACUAUGAGUAAUCAUAACUUCCA
rnacentral:tRNA from 1 species